UACAUGGGGUGCAAACGUUGCUCGGAAUUAUUGGGCGUAAAGCGCACGUAGGUGGUCUGUUAUGUCAGAUGUGAAAGCCCUCGGCUUAACUGAGGAAGUGCACCUGAAACUGGCAGGCUUGAGUACGAAAGAGGGUCGCGGAAUUCCCGGUGUAGAGGUGAAAUUCGUAGAUAUCGGGAGGAACACCGGUGGCGAAGGCGGCGACCUGGUCCAGCACCGACGUUCAGGCACGAAAGCGUGGGGAGCAAACAGG
rnacentral:rRNA from 1 species